GUGGGGAAUAUUGCGCAAUGGAGGCAACUCUGACGCAGCCAUGCCGCGUGCAGGAAGAAGGCGCUACGCGUUGUAAACUGCUUUUAACCGGGAAGAAACCCCAGGACGUGUCCUGGGUUGACGGUACCGGAGGAAUAAGCACCGGCUAACUUCGUGCCAGCAGCCGCGGUAAUACGAAGGGUGCAAGCGUUAUCCGGAUUCAUUGGGGUUAAAGGGUGCGUAGGCGGAGCGUUAAGUCAGUGGUGAAAUCCUGCAGCUUAACUGUAGACUUGCCAUUGAUACUGGCGCUCUUGAGUGCGCUUGAAGUGGGCGGAAUGUGCCGUGUAGCGGUGAAAUGCUUAGAUAUGGCACAGAACACCAAUUGCGAAGGCAGCUCACUAAGGCGAUACUGACGCUGAGGCACGAAAGCGUGGGGAUCGAACAGGAUUAGAUACCCGGGUAGUCC
rnacentral:rRNA from 1 species